UCCCUGGUGGCUCAGAUGGUAAAGCAUCUGCCUGCAAUGCGGGAGACCUGGGUUCGAUUCCUGGGUCGGGAA
rnacentral:tRNA from 1 species